GUCGGGCCCCGACGCUCCCGCAGUCUCAGAGCGAGCCGAGAUCAGCGGUUGUCAGUUCGGAACGUGGCUUUUAAAAAUGCGUUUUUAAAUACUGUCUUGAAGAAGUGGAGGAGAGAUCUACACAACUUAAGUUGUGCCUGCCUGUUCACACGCCUUUGCCCCCCAACUCCAUCUCUGCGGCAUCCUGCCCCCCCCACCACCAAAAAAAGUCACUCCUGGGUUCUGUCUGCAGAGAGCCCGGGUGAAAGCGGGCAAGGCAAGGGAGCGACCUCGGUCGUGGGCAAGUAGCUUGUUUUUACGUCCUUCAAUAAAAUUUUUAUGAGGAUCA